UCUUCAUUCCUCUUACUCUUUCACCGGCCAUAGUGGCGAGAUAGUAUGUGAAAUGAAGAGA
rnacentral:pre_miRNA from 1 species